rnacentral:lncRNA from 1 species
UUUUUUUUUUUUUUUUUGGUAAUUUCUCUUUUUGCCCCCCCUCCCUCUUAAUUGUUGGAAACUUAAAAUGAAAAUGAAUCAGCAACAGUGAACGCUGCACUUAAGGAAAUGUAUGAUCUGGUUUAUAAUUUAUGCACUGACUCCCGAAGGAACUGAACUUUUUAACUUCUAAUUUAUGAAAAAGUAUGAGUAACAGCAUCUCUCAAUUUGAUUCACCUUGCUCAUUUUAUCCAAAUCUCAUGUCUAGAUUUAGUUCAACAUUCAUUUCACCAGCAGUUGAAUCCCUAGGUGUGGAGAUGAAAUAAAAUAUUUGUUUAUCCAAAAUGCCUUAUUUCUAGUUUCCAGACAAACCAUAGCUGAGUGUGUUUGAUAUCCUCAGAGAACCGUAGUGCUCUACCUAAUGGUAAACAGCCUCAGACAGAGGACUGAUUUCUCAGGGAACUGUGUGAGAGAGAAGGAAAGGCACAGGAAGGAAAUUGCAUCAGAGAAGCAUUUUAUAAUUUGGUGAAUUAGUAAUCAACUGAAUAUUUUCAAAAUGUUCUAGAAAUCACUUGUUCGUGUCUUUCACCUCAGCAUACCUGGUCUACACUUCUCUUUCUGGCUUUAGAUUUGGCAUUGUCCUUCCCAUCUAAUAUCAUCUUCCACUUCCUCCCAACACAAGUGCCUGCACCCGCACCGUUGUAGCUGCGUGACUUGACCAUCUAGGAGGUGUGUGCAUAUGGGGAAGAUCACUAGGCUAGGAGAUGGUAAGCCUGGAUUUUAUUCCUUUCUUGCUAAUAAACCAGGUGACCUUAGCUAUGUCACUUAACCUCUCUGAGCCUCAGUUUCUUCAUUUACAAGACAAGAGGUUAGCAUGAUAUUGUCUGAUUAUAUCCCUUCUUAGAGCUUUCUCUAAGCCUACCUUACUCACUUAUAUAUUCUUUUAAUUCCACAGUACUUAUCAUUUGCUACAAUAUAUAUUUUACUCAAUUUUUCAAAACUCCCUCCAUUAGAAUGCAAGCUCUGUGUGUGCAAGGAUUUCUUCCCAUUUUGUUCACUGCUGUAUUUCCAUCACUGAAAGAAGUCUAAAGCAUCAUAGCCAUUAAAUAAAUAUUUGUUGAAUGAAUCAAUGUAUUAAAGAAUCAUACACAUUAUUCUUCCUUAAAUAUGCUCUGCAGUCAAACUUCCUCCACCAGACUCUGCUGACAACUCCAAACCCAAAUAGCUCCCUUCCAUGAACUUCCAAUGCAAGAACAGUUAGUUUUCAGACAGUUUAGCAUUUAAUAAUUAUCUGAAUAUUUCAGAUAUAUCAGAUAUAUCAGCACUAACUUGUUUUAAGAGGAUACAUUUCUCAAGGCCAAGGGCUAUCACUUAGACCUAGUCUGUCACAUAUUUGCUAGGUAUUCGAUGGACUGGAUUUAGGAAACAUAUUUUCUUUGUAUUCAGCAACAAACUUAGAUUUCCGUCAUCUGCACCGUUUAUCUGCUAAUCUCUGCGUCUGUUCUCUGGCCAGGAUUUAGAAGGGUGAUGAAACCGCCCAAGAAACCACCCACACUUUGCCAAGUCUUUGCAAGCAGCAAGGGAAAAAAGCAGUCAAACAUUUCCUUUGCCAAUUACUGUCAGUGAAAGCAUACAGUAUCUACUGGUAAUACAGAGAGUAUGGGAGGGCAAGGGGAGUUUUUUGGGAGAAUCAGAAUAAAAAUGACUGGAAGGAUCUUUUAAAUGGGAGAAAGAAGUAGAGAACUUGACCUCACACAGAAUUUUAAAAAUAAAGAAGCAUCCUAGACGUUGUCUCUUUUCUUACCCCGCAUUUGUCUGGGAAAAGUGAGGAUCACAAAAUGAAGUGACGUGCCUAAAUGCACACAGAUUAGUUAAAGAACAGUGAAAUACUGCUCAUCAAAGCCUUAUCUGGUAAAUUGAAUUUUCUCAUUAAAGUUGUACAAGACAUCCAUUUGAUUUGUAGCAGUGAUCAAAAAGCUUUCUAAAAUGUAGCUACAAGGAUUUAAAAUAUAUUGAGAUAUAUUACUUCUAAGUAUAGCCUAGUUGAAGUAAUUUAAUCUGUCUUUGAUAUUUUAGGGACAUAGUACUGAGCAUCAAUUAUAAUAGUAGCAUAUGAAAGAUGUGAAAAUUAUAGGAGAUAGAACUCAAUUGUGCUAGGCCCUGACAAUCUGAUUUGGAUAUAUUUGGUUUUUGGUUUUUUAAGAUUUUUAUUUAUUUAUUUGAGAGAGAGCGCACAUGCGCGUGCACAGGUGCACACAGGUGCAUAAGACAGUUAAGGGGCAGAGGGAGGGAGAGAAGUAGACUCCCUGUAGAGCGGGAAACCCAACCCAAGACCCCAGGAUCAUGACCUGAGCCGAAGGCAGAUGCUUAACUGACUGAGACACCCAGGCACCCUUGGGGAUCUUCGAUUUUUAUAAUAAACUGUUUUCUUUAGAUUUGUUUUUUUUUCUCCUAAAAGUCAAAUGCUAAAAAAAAAUAUAUAUAUAUCAAUUAAUUAAUUUAAUGAGAAGCCCGAAUUGGUUCAUUUCUAGUCCUCAUGUUAUAAUCACCAAACAAGAGGUUUGUUUUUUUUUUCAAAUAUAGGAAUUAAACUACAUUUUUUAAAAAAUAUUUUAUUUAUUUACUCAUGAGAGACACAGAGCGAGAGAGAGGCAGAGACAUAGGCAGAGGGAGAAGCAGGCUCC